UGACUGCAUCGACGGAGCAAUCGCCGAUG
rnacentral:sRNA from 1 species